rnacentral:miRNA from 1 species
GCAAGUACAUACAGUUAUAGU